GUCGGGGUCGGGAUUCUCGACGUUUACUGUGAAAAAAUCAGAGUGUUCAACGCAGGCUUACGCCUUGAAUACAUUAGCAUGGAAUAAUGAGAUAGGACCUUGGCGGUCUAUUUUGUUGGUUUGCACGCCGAGGUAAUGAUUAAAAGGGACGGUUGGGGUUCUUCGUAUUCAAUUGUCAGAGGUGAAAUUCUUGGAUUUAUGGAAGACGAACUGCUGCGAAAGCGUCGAACAAGGACGUUCUCAUUAAUCAAGAACGAAAGUUAMGGGAUC
rnacentral:rRNA from 1 species